ensembl:lncRNA LINC01766 long intergenic non-protein coding RNA 1766
GGCGGGGCCUGCCUGGCCGCCAUGGUAAUCCCCUGUGGUUGGUGAUCAAGGAAGAGCAUAGUGCCAGACCUAGGUCCAGUCACUCCACGCUUGCAGAGUCCAAUUAACAAGAGCAAGUUCUGGUAGAAAGAAGGUGACUUUAUUCCAGAGCUCAGGUGUUUGAACUGAUGUCUGAUGAGGAUGAAUCCAGCGACUACCUCUGCCUGUCCAUCCUGGGCCUCUUCUGUUGCCUUCCCCUAGCCAUCCCAGCCGUGAUCUUUUCUUGCCUGACAAAGAACUACAAUAAAUCCAGUGACUAUGAGCUGGCAGCCAAGACCUCCAAACAAGCCUACUACUGGGCCAUCGCGAGCAUCACUGUGGGAAUCUUAGGUACCAUCUUGUACACCUACCUGAUAUACUUACUUAGAUUGUAAACUGCUUCCCAGCUCUUGAACAAACCACCAAAUAUACACCACAGUGCAAUUUA